AUGAAAUUUGUUGACUUGCUCUUAAGUCGUGUCAUCACGACUAGAUCAUUACAUCAAGAAUUUGCAAGAAAACAAUUAUGGAAAGGAUCUAAUCUUAAGGAUUUCUUCUCGUUAUGCUGCUUUACAAUCCAACUCUUUAAAAUCUUCAAGCCUCGCAUGAAAUUUGUUGACUUGCUCUUAAGUCGUGUCAUCACUAAUAAACACCAAGAAAUCUCCAUAAAAUUCUCUCAGUUUUCUACUUCAUCAUCUUCACCUUUCAAUAAAAAACUACAUCAAUCUUCAUCUCUCGGAAAUCUCAAUCCGCAUUCUUCUUCAUCUCUGCACUCUCUCAUCAUCUUUGCGCUUCAACCAUCAUCAUCUUCCGCAAUUUCUCUGUAUCCUCAUCAACAAUCCCCAGCUUCAAUCUUCACGCCAAAAUUGCAAUAUUGUCGCAACACGAUAUUCAUCAUCGUUGAGAAUAAACAAAAGCAGAGCGGAACUUGA